rnacentral:rRNA from 1 species
CCAGCAGCUGCGGUAAUUCCGGCUCCAAUAGCGUAUAUUAAAGUUGUUGCAGUUAAAAAGCUCGUAGUUGGAUUUCUGGCAGGAGCGUCCGGUCUCACACUCAGUGCGGGAACUUGGAUGUCUCUGGCCAUCUUUGGGGAUAUCCUGUUUGGCAUUAAGUUGUCGGGCAGGGGAUACCCAUCGUUUACUGUGAAAAAAUUAGAGUGUUUAAAGCAGGCUUACGCUUGAAUACAUUAGCAUGGAAUAAUGGAAUAGGACUUUGGUUCUAUUUUGUUGGUUUCUAGGACCAAAGUAAUGAUGAAUAGGGAUAGUUGGGGGCAUUAGUAUUGAGCUGUCAGAGGUGAAAUUCUUGGAUUUGCUCAAGACUAACAACUGCGAAAGCAUUUGCCAAGGAUGUUUUCAUUGAUCAAGAACGAAAGU